rnacentral:rRNA from 1 species
GCGUGCCUUUUGUAGAAUGAACCGGCGAGUUGCGACAGACUGCGAGGUUAAGGAGGAAAGACCGGAGCCGAAGCGAAAGCGAGUCUUAAGAGGGCGAAAGUAGGAUGUUGCAGACCCGAAACCGGGUGAUCUAGCCAUGAGCAGGUUGAAGUUGAGGUGAAACUCAAUGGAGGACCGAACCGACUACCGUUGAAAAGUUAGCGGAUGACUUGUGGCUAGGGGAGAAAUUCCAAUCGAACCCGGAGAUAGCUGGUUCUCCCCGAAAUAGCUUUAGGGCUAGCGUCGGAAAGAACCUUAGUGAAGGUAGAGCACUGAAUGUGUGAUGGCCCCAUCCCGGGGUACUGAAUACAAUCAAACUGCGAAUGUCAUUAAGGAUGUCCGGCAGUCAGACUGUGAGUGAUAAGGUCCAUGGUCAAGAGGGAAACAGCCCAGACCGCCAGUUAAGGUCCCAAAAUACAGGCUAAGUGGAAAAGGAUGUGGGGAUGCCCAGACAACUAGGAGGUUGGCUCAGAAGCAGCCAUCCUUUAAAGAGUGCGUAACAGCUCACUAGUCGAGUGACCCUGCGCCGAAAAUGUACCGGGGCUAAGCCUGAUACCGAAACUGCGGAUUGUAGGAAACUAUAGUGGUAGGGGAGCGUUGUAUACGAGCAGAAGCCGUACCGUGAGGAGCGGUGGAUUGUAUAGAAGUGAGAAUGCCGGUGUGAGUAGCGAGAUGUAGGUGAGAAUCCUACACACCGAAAGCCCAAGGAUUCCAGGGGAAGGUUCGUCCGCCCUGGGUAAGUCGGGACCUAACGCGAGGCCGAAAGGCGUAGUGGAUGGAAAGCAGGCGAAAGAUUCCUGCACCCGUAUAUGGAGCGAAGGAGUGACGGAGACGGAUAGUGUGACCCUCUUAAUGGAUUGAGGGCGAAGCGAAGCGGCUGGUUACCAGGCAAAUCCGGUAACCAAAAGGCUAGAGCGUGACAGGUAAGCGAAAUCUUAGGAAAGUAGCGAAGCACAUGAUGACGGCUUCCAGGAAAAGCUUCUGGCAAUGCAUAUGCGGCCCGUACCAAAACCGACACAGGUGGGCAGGGAGAGAAUCCCGAGGUGAGCGAGAGAACUGUUGCCAAGGAACUCGGCAAAAUGACUCCGUAAGUUAGCGAGAAGGAGUGCUUAAGCAAUUAAGCCGCAGUGAAGAGGCCCAAGCGACUGUUUAACUAAAACACAGCUCUCUGCGAAGUCGCAAGACGAAGUAUAGGGGGUGACACCUGCCCGGUGCUGGAAGGUUAAGAGGAUCUGUUAAGAGCGAUCUGAAGCAGUGAUCCGAAGCCCCAGUGAACGGCGGCCGUAACUAUAACGGUCCUAAGGUAGCGAAAUUCCUUGUCAGGUAAGUUCUGACCCGCACGAAAGGUGUAACGAUUUGGGCGCUGUCUCGGCAGCAGACUCGGUGAAAUCUUAGUACCUGUGAAAAUGCAGGUUACCCGCAACUAGACGGAAAGACCCCAUGGAGCUUUACUGCAGCCUGAUAUUGAAUUCUGGUCAUACAUGUACAGGAUAGGUGGGAGACAAAGAGACGUGCACGCCAGUGUACGAGGAGUCGACGUUGGGAUACCACUCUUGUGUGACCGGGGUUCUAACCUGGUAUCGAGAACAGGUACGGGGAG